ACGUGUCCGAGCUGCUUCUUCGUUUCAAAUACAUUUGGCGCCGCUGCCUAUUGUUUGAGCCUGUGCUCACGAUGAAAACACGCAUCGCAGAAACCUGAAAGCCCGCCAAAAGAGCUCUAAAAACCGCAUCCCAGACCUGCCGGCAGACUUCCGAGCUAAGCCUGAUUAAACAAAAACAUUUGAUCCGGCGGAAUAAUGUGUUUGAUAUUACAUCCCAUGUCAACAAGGAACUGCGCUGUCUGUCUUCGCCCCCAACAGGUUUUAUUCUUCCGGGUUUUUCAAAUCUUUACCAACCCGCGUCCGAUCGUAAUACCCCGAUCACAACAAAUAGUUGAUCGUGCUCCGAUGGCUCCAAACAUCAGCCGGCAAGGAAGUUACGUUUUUCGCUUCUAUAUUUUGACCCAAGUGAUGGCUGGUCGUGGUUCAUCAGCGUUUGUUUUGAAACUGAUGGGUACCACAAGGCAUGAAGGAGGUGACUUGCAGCAGCAAGGCACUGCAAGCCUUCGCAGCAACUGGCUAGCCAGUGCUGCUCUGUUCUGAACUGCACUGCGUGUCAUGCGGAGGUUUUGUGCAAGCUCUCUGGGCGGCGACGCUAGCCACGAUUGGCUUCGUGGAUGCACAGAAAUACUCAAGGCGCUUGACGUCUGUGGCUUAUCUGUAUUGUUUUUCCCGGUACCACGGCAUGAAGGAGCUGGCCUCCCUCCCUUCCAUCAGCUGCGAGAUACUACAAGCACUGGGCUACAGCUGCAGCUAGCCCAUGGGUACCGUUCUGCGUCCUGUACUGCAUCUAGUUCGAAAGGCCAUGUGAAAGGCAGGUGUGGUCUUUAUGGGCUCUGUCACUAUGUGCAUUUUCUGCAGCUUUUUCGGGGCAACUUCAUAUUAAGAUUCAAUACGGACUCGAGUGAGAGGGGGGCAUUCUGAGAAAGCCAGCCUCUUUGUUAAACCAUUGGGACUGGUAUUAUAUCUACAGAGUUUAUUUACACCUUUUGUUAUGUACUUUUUUAUUUAUUUUUAUUUUACUAGUUACUUAUACUUCAAUCUGACACGACAGCCACCAAAAAUGGGGAAAGGACAAAAAUGUUGACAUAUUGGCCUUUUUGUUUUCUGGCAGUUUGUUUGAAGAGCCAAUGUUGGGGGCCGUCAUUCGUGUUAUUUUUCCCACACGCACGUCCAGCCUAUGUUUACGUAA